rnacentral:rRNA from 1 species
CAGCAGCCACGGGAAUACGUAGGGGGCUAGCGUUGUUCGGAUUUACUGGGCGUAAAGCGCACGUAGGCGGAUCGAUCAGUCAGGGGUGAAAUCCCAGAGCUCAACUCUGGAACUGCCUUUGAUACUGUCGAUCUGGAGUAUGGAAGAGGUGAGUGGAAUUCCGAGUGUAGAGGUGAAAUUCGUAGAUAUUCGGAGGAACACCAGUGGCGAAGGCGGCUCACUGGUCCAUUACUGACGCUGAGGUGCGAAAGCGUGGGGAGCAAACAGGAUUAGAUACCCCAGUAGUCCCUGUCUCUUAUAC